rnacentral:rRNA from 1 species
CGGAUGAGAGGAGCUUGCUCCUGGAUUCAGCGGCGGACGGGUGAGUAAUGCCUAGGAAUCUGCCUGGUAGUGGGGGACAACGUUUCGAAAGGAACGCUAAUACCGCAUACGUCCUACGGGAGAAAGCAGGGGACCUUCGGGCCUUGCGCUAUCAGAUGAGCCUAGGUCGGAUUAGCUAGUUGGUGAGGUAAUGGCUCACCAAGGCGACGAUCCGUAACUGGUCUGAGAGGAUGAUCAGUCACACUGGAACUGAGACACGGUCCAGACUCCUACGGGAGGCAGCAGUGGGGAAUAUUGGACAAUGGGCGAAAGCCUGAUCCAGCCAUGCCGCGUGUGUGAAGAAGGUCUUCGGAUUGUAAAGCACUUUAAGUUGGGAGGAAGGGUUGUAGAUUAAUACUCUGCGAUUUUGACGUUACCGACAGAAUAAGCACCGGCUAACUCUGUGCCAGCAGCCGCGGUAAUACAGAGGGUGCAAGCGUUAAUCGGAAUUACUGGGCGUAAAGCGCGCGUAGGUGGUUUGUUAAGUUGGAUGUGAAAUCCCCGGGCUCAACCUGGGAACUGCAUCCAAAACUGGCAAGCUAGAGUAUGGUAGAGGGUGGUGGAAUUUCCU